UACGGAGGGGGCUAGCGUUGUUCGGAAUUACUGGGCGUAAAGCGCGCGUAGGCGGCAUCGCAAGUCGGGUGUGAAAUCCCCAGGCUUAACCUGGGAACUGCAUUCGAGACUGCAUUGCUAGAGUAUGGGAGAGGGAAGUGGAAUUUCCGGUGUAGCGGUGAAAUGCGUAGAUAUCGGAAGGAACAUCAGUGGCGAAAGCGACUUCCUGGACCAAUACUGACGCUCAUGUGCGAAAGCGUGGGGAGCAAACAGG
rnacentral:rRNA from 1 species